ensembl:misc_RNA Metazoa_SRP Metazoan signal recognition particle RNA
GCUGGGUGUAGUGGUCUGCUUGUAGUUCCAGCUACUUGGGAGGCUGAGGGAGGAGGAUCGCUUGAGUCCAGGAAUUCUGUGUUGUAGUGUGCUAUGCCUAUCAGUUGUCUGCACUAAGUUUGUCAUCAAUUUCAUGUCCUCCUGGGAAUAGGAGACCAACAGGUUCCCUAAGAAGAGGUGAACCAGCCUAAGUUGGAAACGGAGCAAGUCAAAACUGCCGUACUGGUCAGUAGUGGGAUCUCACCCGUAAAGAGCUACUGCAUUCCAGCCUGGGCAACAUAGUGAGAUCCUGUCUGUA